CCCUUUCCGUAGGUGAACCUGCGGAAGGAUCAUUACCGAGUGAGGGCCCUCUGGGUCCAACCUCCCACCCGUGUUUAUUUUACCUUGUUGCUUCGGCGAGCCUGCCUUUUGGCUGCCGGGGGACGUCUGUCCCCGGGUCCGCGCUCGCCGAAGACACCUUAGAACUCUGUCUGAAGAUUGUAGUCUGAGAUUAAAUAUAAAUUAUUUAAAACUUUCAACAACGGAUCUCUUGGUUCCGGCAUCGAUGAAGAACGCAGCGAAAUGCGAUACGUAAUGUGAAUUGCAGAAUUCAGUGAAUCAUCGAGUCUUUGAACGCACAUUGCGCCCUCUGGUAUUCCGGAGGGCAUGCCUGUCCGAGCGUCAUUGCUGCCCUCAAGCACGGCUUGUGUGUUGGGCUCCGUCCUCCUUCCGGGGGACGGGCCCGAAAGGCAGCGGCGGCACCGCGUCCGGUCCUCAAGCGUAUGGGGCUUUGUCACCCGCUUUGUAGGACUGGCCGGCGCCUGCCGAUCAACCAAACUUUUUUCCAGGUUGACCUCGGAUCAGGUAGGGAUACCCGCUGAACUUAAGCAUAUCAAUAAGCGGAGGA
rnacentral:rRNA from 1 species